CCUGGUCUCCUGGCUUCAGUCUUUCAUUCCCUAACCUCCCUUUGAAUGUUAGUUACCUAUUCCCACAUAACAAAGUGCCCCAAAACUUAAUGGCGUAAAACAAGCAUGGACAUUGUUAAUUCACCCAGUUCUGUGGGGCAGGAAAGCGGGUCUCUCAUGAGGCUACAGUCAAGAUGUCAGCCGAGGUGACAGUCAAGAUAUCAACCAAGGCUGCAGCCGGUUGAAGGCCUCACUGGAUUUGGAGAAUAUUAUUGAUUGAAUUGCGUCUUCCCCAAAAAAGAUAUGUUGUGGUCCUAACCCCUAAUAGCUCAGAAUGUGGCCUUAUUUGGAAAUAGGGUCUUUGCAGAUGCAAUGAAGAUAUAAGUUAAAAUGAGAUCACACUAGAGUAACUGGGCCCUUAAUCCAAUAUGACAUGUCCUUAUCAGAAGAGGAGAAGACACACACACAGGGAGAAGAUGACCAUGUGACAACAGGGGCAGAGAUCACAGGGAUGCCUCUACCAGACAAGGCACACCAGAAAUUGCUUGCCAACAAACACCAGAAAUUAGAAGAGGCAAGAAACAACUCCCCACACACAACCCACCCCUGCAGGUUUCAGAAGAAGCGUGGCUCUGCCAACACCUUGAUUUUGGAUUUCCAGCUUCCACAACUAUGAGACAAUAAGUUUCUGUUGUUUGAAGCCACCCAGUUCAGGGUACUUUGAUAUGGCAGACCUAGGAAACAAAUACAGAGGACCACUUGCAAAAUGGCCCAUUCACACAGCUGGCACGUUGGUGCUGGCUGCUAGCAAAAGGUCUCAGUUCCUCACCACUUGCAUCUUUCCAUAGGGAUAGCUGAGUGUCCUCAUGAUGUGGCCCCUGGCUUCCCCUGAAGCAAAUGAUCCAAGAGAGCACAGGUGGAGCCAUGAUGUCUUUUAUUAACUAGUCUCAGAAGUCACACUGCAUCAUUUGGCACCAUCUUAUUGAGUUACACAGGUCAGCCCUGCUCCCUAUGGAAAGAGACAGAGGGUGUUAGAUGCCCAGAGGUGAACCUCAUUGGGUACCCUCCCAACAGUUGCUGUUCCUCAGGCUAAAGUUCACAUUCUGCACAGCCUCAGCUCCGCCUGACCUCUGAGCUCACAUGAUGGCCCUUACUGUGAACCUGGGUUUCUGGUCCAGCCAUAGCUACUUCUUUAAGCUCCUCCAGUGUGCUGAGCACAGUCUGGCCCCUGUACUGUUGUCUGCUUGAAAUGGCGUCUUCUGAUGAACACUCAUCCAUCCUUCAAGGUCUACUCUCUCAUCACAGCUUGUGACUCUUCCACUUUUUGAACUGGUGUUUCCCAUUCCCAGUUCACAGAGCCCUUUCUCAUUGAACUAUUUAUCUGAGUUCCCUCUGCCGGAACAUGAGCCAUGCCUAGAGUAGCCACCUAGUAGUGAGUGACAGCUCUGUGCUGGAUGCACAUAAAUGGUCUCCCUUAACUGCCAUGAGCCCUAAAGAAGGUUUGCUACAGCUAUUUUACAGAUGGGGAAAACUGACAGAGAGAUAUUAAUGAAUUGCCCACAUGCAAAUAUGUGCUGAGUCUUGGAUUUGCAUCUUUAUCGUGACUCCACGGAGACCCACCCUCUAAGACCAGAGCCAGUGUCCUAUUCAUCUUUUGCCUCUGCCGCGUUCAGCAUGGCGCUGUCUUGGCUUACAAAAUCUGCUCUAUGCUUGCUGACUGCUGAAUGAAUGAAUGAAUGAAUGAAUAGGUAGUCACAAAGAAUGUUUAGAAUGUUUCUCAGGCUGAGAAAAAAACCAACA
rnacentral:lncRNA from 1 species